UACAGUACAUGAACAGUAUGAUAUGUCCUUACAAUUGCAGACGCCUUUUCAAAGAUAAUCUUUAAUAGUUUAUUUGACAACCUGUAAAAUUAUAGAAAAUUAUUAGUCUUGGGAAUUACAAAAAUCCCUGUAGUACAGUCAAACAAUAAAAUUAUAAUUACCUGUGGGUAAUUGAAAUUUAACUGUUUUUUUAUUGUAUAUUACACAUCAAUAGCAACAUAAGUUCAAGAGGUUUUUUUCUUCUUUCCUUUUUUCUUACAGAACCUGAGAAAAUGGACAGCACUGUUGGGGGCUUGUGAGUUCCUGUCACAGUACUGAGCUUGAACAAUUUCGAUUAAAGCCCCAUGUUUGAGACUGUCAUUAGACCUGCAUUAAAUUACAUAUCUGGAGUGUUAAAAAAUAAAGAGUACAGUAGCUUUUUCUCAGCUACCUAAGGUGAGUGAAGCUGCAAGUUGAGGCCCUGUCCACAUAUAAAUACUGGAAGAGCUGAAGUCCAGGGAGACUGCUGAAAAAAAAAUUGACAACAACAACAAAAGACUUUAUUUUUUAUUGCACGAGGCCCACAUAUGACUUUGAAUAUUUUUUAGUCUGUUGUUUGGUGACGCCUAAGAAGAGUCCUGCUGCCAAUGUUCCUCACCUUGCCUCCCGUGGAAAGGGAAUGAUGUGCACAGACUCUUGUUAUGCAAAGGGAAAAAACAAGGGACAAUAUGUUGCUGCUGAUGCAGGUGAUGAUGAUACAACCCAGCAGAAGAAGAUGAACUUCUUCCUGAAGAUGGAGCGACUACUCCUGGUCCGUGAUAAGGGAACCCCUGUUUGGGGCUGCCAUGUCUCUCCCAAACUUUUGUUAUCAGUGGAGCUUAGAACGUAGACCAUCUGUCACAGAGAGUCCCAACUACGUUUUGGAGAUCAGGGUUUUAAGAAGGAAGAAAGGAAGAGGAAAACAUGGAAGAUCUUUAAGAGUUUAUUGCUGGAAAAGGGAAGAUGCCUCACUCUAUGACAAGAAUCUUCUGGAAUAUAAUGACAUCAACUUGUCCUCCAGUGCCACUGUAACACAUUUUGAGAGAAGUUCGCGUAUUUGCUGAGAACAUGUUCAGGGAUCCUCUUUCAGCUGCCCCUGCUUGAUUGCUCCCAGAAUGCACUGGCUGAUGCCUCCACGGCAGGAAGUUUUCACCAGACAGCAUUUGCAAAUACUGGGGACAACAGAAUGACAACCCAGGAAAAGAGAAACAAAGAACUGAAUGAAAGGAACCUGCCCAUCUCACAGACACUCCGCCAUCUGAAGCGUCCCUGAAGUACGGCUAGCUCUCCAGCUGGGCACUCCCAUCUCAGAGAAUGGGACCUACACUUCUCCUGAGAGAUGAGCCCAACGCCUAAUGGAUCUCAAUGUCAGAAAGACUUCCGCGAUACCCAUCUCACAUCCUCCUCUCCUGAAUUUCUUCACAUUGCUCUCAGUUAGAGCGCAGCUUCGAGGAAAGGAGAAUGGCCUCUCCAACGGAAACCAGCAACCAACACUGAAAGGUCUCUGCCGGCUCUCUGAGGGUUACCAGGAAGUCCGAGACCCGGGGACUCCUCUCAAGCAGUAUCAUCUUGUUAGAAAAUUACUCAGAGAUUAAGGAGUACACGCGUCGUGAUGAGCACCGAGUGACGUAUGGAAGAGUGGAAUCACUAUAUUGUACACCCGCAACUAUUAUAACACUGUAUGUGACCUAUACUGGGACGAAAAUAAAAACUUAAAAUUAAAAAAAUAAAAUUACUCAGAGAUAGGCAAAAUCACACCAAGGAUGGGACGCAACCGAUGCUAAGCAGAAAAGACAAUGGGUGCCGGAAAAGUUCAGAGCGGGGGAGUGCACUGUAGGCUGAAGACAUAACUGAGGGCUUCACGGUAGGGCAGAGUUUGGGCAGGAUCUCACAAGAGUAUAAUCCAGACGUGUCUACAGGACGCAGUGAAAGGCAAUGGGGAAAGGAGGUAGACAAGGUGAGGAGCCAGGUUUGUGCCACAGGGGUUCCGGUGACAAUGUGUGGUCAGUGAGACUCAACGUGAGGUUAUUGAAGUUGCCCCGAAGUCAUCUGUUGCCAUCAUCUAAGUGUUCUCCCCUACUUCUCAAAUGUUCUCCAUAAUCUAGAACUUCCACUGACCGCAGUCUGAGAUGAGCCUAAGAAAGAAACUUCUGGCCUCUGUUCUGGUGUAAUAUACACUGUAGCCUGAGUUUCAAAGAAAGCAGAGCCUAGGGCAAUGGUGUAUGUGCUUCUCUUUGAUUAGGGAAUAAAGCCCAGGAAGCAAAGGAGGGAAAAGGGGAUAAGACAAGAAAGAGAGUGCUGAGCUGGCCCCUGCUGGGGAGCAAGUGUCACUGCUUGCUCCAUGUUGUGGACUUUCUCCUAAAAGGAUGCCCUUUCAUGGCUGCAUCCCACAACACUUGGUUGGUAAGAAGCAGGAGGAAGAUUUAUCUGUCAGCUUCUGCCUACCAAUGGCCAAAGGUUCCCUCCAUGGGACCUUAGCUUCCCUACACUCCGGGGCUGUGCGCACAUGAGUUCUCAGUUGUCCUGUAGCCUCGCACACCUUGGAGUCAAUAGGAGGAAAAGCCAGGAUGGGGGAGCAUGCACUUAGACCCGUUCAUCCCUGAAGUGGCACUUGUGUCCAGAAGCUUCAUAAGUGAGCUGAGAUCAUCUGAACUGGCACACGGAGGUGCCUGACUCAUAUGACAAGCCUUUUCUCCUAAUUCCAUGAAUUCUAUCAUUUUUUAAUCUUCAGGUGGUUGUCUUAAAAACAGCAGUCCUGAAAGAGUGAACAUUGAAAGACAUUGAACAAAAAGUCCUGAAGAUCAAAACACACCUUCCCCUCCCCUCCCAGGCCUUUCCCUGGGAUAUAACAGGGCCUUGUUUCAUCUUUGACAAAUGUGGAACAAGACUACGUAGUAGUCUUUACUAAUUAAAUAAGCAACUUUGCUGUGGAAAUAUCAACUGAUGUCAAAUAAUAGCCAUGUACCCGACUAAAGAGGAAGGAAGUCCUAGAAUAAUGUCAGAAUGUGUUUUUCCCCAUUCCACAUUUUCCUAUCUCCUCUGCUAAGUAAAGAUGUAGGCACUUUGUAAACAGAGACUGAACAUAUAAAGAUAGAUUUAUAGGAUGUUCAGUGGAUGAAUGAAUGAAUGAAUGAAUUAAAAGUCAACUCAGAAACCGACCAAGAAACCCUGAGUGAAUAUCCAUAGCACAAACCAGUGAUUCUCCAGCUUUAGCUUGCAUCAGCAUUACUGGAGUGGGUUUGGUAGAACAGAAUCCCCUGGAAGGGUUGUCAGAAAACAGAACCCAGUUGUUCCCAAAUGUCACUGAUGCUGCUAUACCCUCAGACCAUACUUUGAGAACCAGUGCACAAGCCAACCUGAAUCUGUCACUUUUGGUCAAACAGCUGCUAACCCAAAGGUCAUGGGAAUAUGUGUAGAUUAUCUAAUUUUUCUGAAUAAUUUAGGUUUAACCUGAAAAAUCUUUUGGUCGAGGAGGAUUUUGGCAUGAGUGUAUUAACUGCUUGCCACCCCAGAACUACUGAAUCGCUCAGUAACUUUUGUUUUCCCCUAGUAAGGAUAGGGAUGCACAUGAUUGGCAAGGUCUUGCAGUUCCUCUGGGUCAUUCUUGAGAUCCAGGACAAAAAAAAAAAAAAAAAAGGAUUUAUAAACAUUGUAUUAACUCUAAAUUGACCUCAAAGCAAUCCAAUGUCAUUUUCUCUCUCUCUCUCUCUCUCUCUCUCUCUCUCUCGUAAAUUAAAUAAGUAUUUGAAAUUGCUAUUGGUUAAUAAAAACCCAAAUAUCACCUUA